AUGAACGCUGGCGGCGUGCCUAAUACAUGCAAGUCGAGCGAACAGACGAGGAGCUUGCUCCUUUGACGUUAGCGGCGGACGGGUGAGUAACACGUAGGUAACCUACCUAUAAGACUGGGAUAACUUCGGGAAACCGGAGCUAAUACCGGAUAAUAUUUCGAACCGCAUGGUUCGAUAGUGAAAGAUGGCUUUGCUAUCACUUAUAGAUGGACCUGCGCCGUAUUAGCUAGUUGGUAAGGUAACGGCUUACCAAGGCAACGAUACGUAGCCGACCUGAGAGGGUGAUCGGCCACACUGGAACUGAGACACGGUCCAGACUCCUACGGGAGGCAGCAGUAGGGAAUCUUCCGCAAUGGGCGAAAGCCUGACGGAGCAACGCCGCGUGAGUGAUGAAGGUCUUCUGAUCGUAAAACUCUGUUAUUAGGGAAGAACAAACGUGUAAGUAACUGUGCACGUCUUGACGGUACCUAAUCAGAAAGCCACGGCUAACUACGUG
rnacentral:rRNA from 1 species